GAUGAACGCUGGCGGCGUGCCUAAUACAUGCAAGCCGAGCGAACAGACGAGGAGCUUGCUCCUCUGACGUUAGCGGCGGACGGGUGAGUAACACGUGGAUAACCUACCUAUAAGACUGGGAUAACUUCGGGAAACCGGAGCUAAUACCGGAUAAUAUAUUGAACCGCAUGGUUCAAUAGUGAAAGACGGUUUUGCUGUCACUUAUAGAUGGAUCCGCGCCGCAUUAGCUAGUUGGUAAGGUAACGGCUUACCAAGGCAACGAUGCGUAGCCGACCUGAGAGGGUGAUCGGCCACACUGGAACUGGGACACGGUCCAGACUCCUACGGGAGGCAGCAGUAGGGAAUCUUCCGCAAUGGGCGAAAGCCUGACGGAGCAACGCCGCGUGAGUGAUGAAGGUCUUCGGAUCGUAAAACUCUGUUAUUAGGGAAGAACAAAUGUGUAAGUAACUAUGCACGUCUUGACGGUACCUAAUCAGAAAGCCACGGCUAACUACGUG
rnacentral:rRNA from 1 species